UGGCCAGACUCCUACGGGAGGCAGCAGUGAGGAAUAUUGGUCAAUGGGCUUACGCCUGAACCAGCCAAGUCGCGUGAGGGAAGACUGCCCUAUGGGUUGUAAACCUCUUUUGUCAGGGAGCAACGCCGGCUACGUGUAGCCGGACUGAGAGUACCUGAAGAAAAAGCAUCGGCUAACUCCGUGCCAGCAGCCGCGGUAAUACGUAGGUGGCAAGCGUUGUCCGGAAUUACUGGGUGUAAAGGGAGCGUAGGCGGGAAGCCAGGUCAGCUGUGAAAACUACGGGCUUAACCUGUAGACUGCAGUUGAAACUGGCUUUCUUGAGUGAAGUAGAGGUUGGCGGAAUUCCGAGUGUAGCGGUGAAAUGCGUAGAUAUUCGGAGGAACACCGGUGGCGAAGGCGGCCAACUGGGCUUUAACUGACGCUGAGGCUCGAAAGUGUGGGGAGCAAACAGGAUUAGAUACCCUCGUA
rnacentral:rRNA from 1 species